CUCUCCUGUGGACAGCUUCUUCUUCUUCUUCUUUAUUUUUUUUUUAAAUAAGUGAAACUCUUUGGUUCAUCCUUUCUCUCGGUUUCACAGAGGACUUUUCACGGCGGCUUGUUUGAAGUCAGGGUGCUGUUGAGUAGUGCAAGCCCGGGCCUCACAUCUCAGAACCAACCAGCCUCCCAGAACCACCCUGCCUCCUCCUCGCCAGUUCUGAGACUGCAGUUGUAGACCGCCAUGUCUGGAAAAUGGAUCAGCUUAUGUAGUGACGAAUGAAAUAGUGAACAGUUGUCCUGAGGUUCCGUGUGAAGACUGAACCUGGAGGCAGAGAGCUGGACUUGUCGGGCUCGCAGCUGCCUCUCCGUGGGGCUGUCUGCCCUCA